AUACGGAGGAUCCGAGCGUUAUCCGGAUUUAUUGGGUUUAAAGGGUGCGUAGGCGGAAUAAUAAGUCAGUUGUGAAAGUUUGCGGCUCAACCGUAAAAUUGCAGUUGAUACUGUUAUUCUUGAGUGUACAUAAGGUAGGCGGAAUUCGUGGCGUAGCGGUGAAAUGCUUAGAUAUCACGAAGAACUCCGAUUGCGAAGGCAGCUUACUAAGCUACAACUGACACUGAAGCACGAAAGCGUGGGGAUC
rnacentral:rRNA from 1 species